GCUAGGCAUGGAAAUGCAUGCCUGUAGUCCCAACACAUGGGAGACUGAGACAGGAGGAUUCUUGAGCCCAGGAGUUCCUUCUAGCCUACGUGAAAUAGCAAUGCCCUGCCUUUU
rnacentral:sRNA from 1 species